CCUACGGGUGGCAGCAGUGGGGAAUAUUGCACAAUGGGGGAAACCCUGAUGCAGCGACGCCGCGUGAGUGAAGAAGUAAUUCGUUAUGUAAAGCCCUAUCAGCAGGGGAGAAAAUGACGGUACCUGAGUAAGAAGCCCCGGCUAACUACGUGCCACCAGCGGCGGGAAUGCGUAGGGAGCAAGCGUAAUCCGGAUUAACUGGGUGUAAAGGGAGUGUAGACGGCAGUGCAAGUCUGGAGUGAAAGGGGGGGGCUCACCCCCCGGACUGCUCUGGAAACUGGACGGCUGGAGUGCAGGAGAGGUAAGUGGAAUUCGUAGUGUAGCGGUGAGAUGCGUAGAUAUUGGGAGGAACACCAGUGGCGAAGGCGGCUUACUGG
rnacentral:rRNA from 1 species